UACAGAGGUCUCAAGCGUUGUUCGGAUUCAUUGGGCGUAAAGGGUGUCGUAGGUGGCGCCGUAAGUCGGGUGUGAAAUUCGGAGGCUUAACUCCGAAACUGCAUUCGAUACUGCGGUGCUUGAGGACUGGAGAGGAGACUGGAAUUUCAUGGUGUAGCAGUGAAAUGCGUAGAGAUCAUGAGGAAGACCAGUGGCGAAGGCGGGUCUCUGGACAGUUCCUGACAGCUGAGCACACGAAGGCCAGGGGAGCAAAACGGG
rnacentral:rRNA from 1 species